GCUAAAGCUAUGAUAGGACGAGUAAAUUAGAUGUAGUCUAUAGAGAGGGGUUGCCUGGGCUGGAAGCACCCUAGAUGAAGCUGAUUGAAAACUACCCUUGAGUUGAGCCCGAAAGGGAUAUCCGUUGAUGACGUUAUAAUCAUUAGAGAAAACUAUGUAAAAUAUAUAGUUUUAAAUUAGGGUGGUACCGUGUGAAUAUAUAACUCUCACCCCUAGA
rnacentral:ncRNA from 1 species